CAGCCAAAGUGAGCGCCAGCUGCUCCUAUAUGAAGCUGAGGCCCUGGCCGGCGGACCCUUGGCAGUGUUGGGCCUGGACGUGGCUCCCUCAACCCUGCUGCCCAGCUACGACCCAGACACUGGCCUGGUGCUCCUGACCGGCAAGGGCGACACCCGUGUAUUCCUGUACGAGCUGCUCCCCGAGUCCCCUUUCUUCCUGGAGUGCAACAGCUUCACGUCGCCUGACCCCCACAAGGUGAGGCCACCCUGGCGCCUCGUCCCCGAUGGGACCACAAGGCUGCCCUGCCCCCUGGUGGCCAUGUGGGCAAGUACAGGAGCCUGUGGGUCGGGGGUCAGAGUCCUGGGCUGGGGCUGGGCCUGGGGCUGUGCCCAGUGACUGGCAAGAAGAGUUGCUGCUGGAAUUAUUUAGGAAUUUUGAGAGCCAUUGUCAUACUCAACCAUUAUUAAAAAUCAUACUGUAGGCCGGGUACGGUGGCCUGGAAUCCCAACACUUCGGAAGGCUGAGGCAGGAGAAUUGCUUGAGCCCAGGAGUUCAAGACCAGCCUGGGCAACAUAGCAAGACCCCAUCUCUACAAAACAAACAAAAAAUUGCACUAGAUAAGGUUAAACUAUAUGAACCUACAAUAUGAACCUAAAAAUAAUAUUAAAAACCAAAGUAAUAAACACUCAGUUUAUCACUUC
rnacentral:lncRNA from 1 species